rnacentral:tRNA from 1 species
CAAAGAUGCCCGAGUGGUCUAAGGGGGUGGUUUCAAGCACCACUAUUUUCGAAUGCGCGGGUUCAAAUCCCGCUCUUUGCAU